UUAUUUGUUAGGUGGUCUCUUGGCUUGGACCAUGAUUUCAGUUAUUCUAUCAACUAAUUUUGUUUAGUGUCAAAUUGGUUAACAUUUUCCUCUUCCACUUUACAGACAGGAGAUUGCACAAAUGAUGAAACUAAUUUUUACGAAUCAUUCCGUGGAUCAUGGGCAGACAAGGAUACUUUUGUAUUGUUUGCUGGUUUGCAGUUUUCUGUUCUGGAUUUCACGGAUAAACAAGAAAUCUAGCAAAGUAAGCACAUGAAUAUUGGCAGAUACUUGAAGCUAUGGACUUUCAUAAAAGAAAAAUAUAAAAUAUAAAUGUGUUGAAGUGGACAGUAUAUGUUUUGAUUUUAUAAAAUUUAUAAACAAAAGUGUAUGGUCUAGUGGUUUA
rnacentral:lncRNA from 1 species